GGAUAUUUUUAUAAUGGAUGAAGGAUUCCAGCUCUCAGAGGGCAGGAUUGUUUUCUGCGUCCAACCUGUUGCGAAGCAUAAAUAUGCUUUCCUUUAUAUUCUUUUACUCUGUGACACGGAGGCUGUACUUGCAAUAUAAACAGAUUGGAAGAAGAGAAAAGAAAGAGCCAUUUACAAUAAUCGGACUUGGAAACAGGCUGAGCAGAGAUGUUUAGAACUUUGUUUGGGAGCGAAUCUUACUCAUGCCAACGAUGGGAUUUUGGGGGAUGCCAGUCCACAUGUGUGUUGGUGCUGAAGUUCUAGAGACAUUUGGAUGAACAUCGCUGCAAGUCCUUUAAGAACCAAACACCCACAGAAUUCAUGAGAAGCCUUGUCUUCUGCAGUGGGACCCAGAGGCAUAAAAGUACUUAAGUCAGUUUUUCAAGGUGGAAAAGUGAAAUCAAGAGCUAACCUCUUAAUGCACCAAGGGACUUGGAAACUUGGUAAAGAUCUGGAUCAUUCCUUAUCAGAUCUGGUUAUGGAUAUUUACUGACCAA
rnacentral:lncRNA from 1 species